ensembl:lncRNA novel transcript
ACUGUGGACGGGGUCCCUGGGCUUUCCCCUAGGGUCCCAUCAGCUGCUUAUGUUCUACCUUCUGACGGAUCACAGGAGGAGCCUGCAGCGGAGGAGCCUCCUCCUCCUCAGCAUCAGACCUAAAGGGAGUGUCCUGCCUGAAGGACCGGCUCAAGGUCGCACUAACAGCUCUUGCUAACUCCUGUUCCAGGCUGUUUAUCUGGGCCUCCAAGUACCCUGCUUGCGCCUGGAGGUCUCUCACCCCCAGGUCCUGCUCAAAGCUGUGCACUUGGGCCCCCAGGCAUGCGGCUUGCUCCGGAAGGUCCCUUACCUGUGGCACUGAGCAUGUACUUCCUGCAGUGCAGUUAGAAAUGCCCAUCCGACUCUGCUUGCAAAGACAUCUGCAAUGGCAGUUCACAUGGCUCAGAUAGCUCACUUCUGCAGAGAGCUGAAUUUAAGUGGGACAGGGUAGCAAGAAUAAUUACUUUGACAAUCAUUUUGCCACCUGAUGACUGUGCUGCCUGUCCUGAGCUGAGUGCAGAGAGGGAGACACCCUUACAAAUGGAGAUUUGCUGGAUAGAAAUGUGGCCAAAGAGUUCAAUAAAAGGUUCCUUUAUUUAUAGGCACAGCUGCUUAAAGACUGUUACCGGAAAGGAAUCCUGAUCCAGACGCCAAGAGAGGGUUCUUGGACUCAUGCAAGAAAGACUUCAGUUCUCAGGUCCCUGGACCAUGAAGGGCCACAUCCAAGGAGCUACCCCAGGAGGCCUCUCAUUUGCAUUUGUCCCCGCUAAUGCAGGACAGAGAUCAUGGAAGUUGGGCCCGACUGGAUGAGAUUUGGGGGUCUUUGGAAGUGGAGAAUGUGUUUGCCCUGGGGAAGAGAGGUGAUGUCUAGGAGACCUCUUCACUCAGGGCAAGCUCUAUGACCUGCUUUGACUCCAGAAUGUGGUAGAAGUGGCAUCACAUAAAUUGCAGAGCCUAGGCUUCAAGAGACCUUGCAACUUGCCUCUCACUGACUUGAAGUGCUCCCAUCAGAGCAUCUUGUAAGGAGCAGGUGGAGCAUGUGGACAAGCCAUCCCCACCAGCCCCUGAGACAUGUGAGAGAGGCCAGAACAGGCCAUCCGGACCCCACUGUGCUGGUGGAUGAGACAGCAGAAGGAAUAUCAACCUACCAACAGAAUCCUGAGAAAUGCUCACUCUUACUUCAAGCUGCUGCAUUUUGAUGUUAUGAAACCAUAAAUAACUUAUGAAGUCAUCUUUGCUGACUUAAAGUUUUCCAUAACUUUAUUAUAACAUAUCAAAAUUAUGAAAAAUGUGAAAAGUAGAAAACUGAUGAAUUUUGCUUCUUCAUAUGGUCUUUAAGAAUCUCAAAGGCACUGAAGUUUUUUAUCUUUUCUGUCUUAGAAUAAAAAACCUUGAAUGAAAA